GACGAAUGCUGGCGGCGUGCCUAACACAUGCAAGUCAACUUGACUGAAGGAGCAAUCUGACAGUAGAGUGGCGCAAGGGUGCGUAACGCGUAAGUAACUUGCCCAAGGUAAGGAAUAACGUCGAGAAAUCGGCGCUAAUACCUCAUAAUGCAGCGGAUCCGCAUGGAUAUGUUGUUAAAGGUUUACCGCCUUGGGAUAGGCUUGCGUCUGAUUAGCUAGUUGGUGUGGUAACGGCACACCAAGGCUACGAUCAGUAACUGGUCUGAGAGGAUGAUCAGUCACACUGGAACUGAGACACGGUCCAGACUCCUACGGGAGGCAGCAGUGAGGAAUAUUGGGCAAUGCUCGAAAGAGUGACCCAGCAACGCCGCGCGGAGGAUGAAGGUAUUCUAUAUCGUAAACUCCUGUGAGAGCAGACGAAAGACAGAUUAUUAAUCUGGAUGACUGUAUGCUCAGAGGAAG
rnacentral:rRNA from 1 species